rnacentral:tRNA from 1 species
GCCGGUGUAGCUCAGUUGGCUAGAGCAGCUGAUUUGUAAUCAGCAGGUCGGGGGUUCGAAUCCCUCCACCGGCUCCA